UACGAAGGGGGCUAGCGUUGCUCGGAAUCACUGGGCGUAAAGCGCACGUAGGCGGACUCUUAAGUCGGUGGUGAAAUCCUGGAGCUCAACUCCAGAACUGCCUUCGAUACUGAGAGUCUCGAGUCCGAGAGAGGUGAGUGGAACUGCGAGUGUAGAGGUGAAAUUCGUAGAUAUUCGCAAGAACACCAGUGGCGAAAGCGGCUUCCUGGACCAGUACCGACGUUCAGGCACGAAAGCGUGGGGAGCAAACAGG
rnacentral:rRNA from 1 species